UACGGAGGGUGCAAACGUUGCUCGGAAUCAUUGGGCGUAAAGCGCACGUAGGCGGCUCGACAUGUCGGGUGUGAAAUCCCUCGGCUUAACCGAGGAAGUGCAUUCGAAACUAUCGAGCUAGAGUACUGAAGAGGGUCUCGGAAUUCCCGGUGUAGAGGUGAAAUUCGUAGAUAUCGGGAGGAACACCAGUGGCGAAGGCGGAGGCCUGGGCAGAUACUGACGCUGAGGUGCGAAAGCGUGGGGAGCAAACAGG
rnacentral:rRNA from 1 species